GACGAACGCUGGCGGCGUGCUUAACACAUGCAAGUCGAACGGAAAGGCCCUGCUUUUGUGGGGUGCUUGUGUGGCGAACGGGUGAGAAACACGUGAGUAACCUGCCCUUGACUUUGGGAUAACUUCAGGAAACUGGGGCUAAUACCGCAUAGGAGCUCCUGCUGCAUGGUGGGGGUUGGAAAGUUUCGGCGGUUGGGGAUGGUCUCGCGGCUUAUCAGCUUGUUGGUGGGGUAGUGGCUUACCAAGGCUUUGACGGGUAGCAGGCCUGAGAGGGUGACCGGCCACAUUGGGACUGAGAUACGGCCCAGACUCCUACGGGAGGCAGCAGUGGGGAAUAUUGCACAAUGGGCUCAAGCCUGAUUCAGCAACGCCGCGUGCGGGAUGACGGCCUUCGGGUUGUAAACCGCUUUCGCCUGUGACGAAGCGUGAGUGACGGUAAUGGGUAAAGAAGCACCGGCUAACUACGUG
rnacentral:rRNA from 1 species